ensembl:lncRNA
CAAAUUCCUCUAAGGCACUCUGGUAUUAAGCACGAACCUGUAUCUGCAGAGCUCCUCAGCAGUUAGAGAGAGCAACCUCUUACAGUCUGGACUGAUUCUCCGAGCACCAGCGGGUGUUCCAUAUGUGAGAGCAGAAAUUACAUCUUGUACUGCUGUUUUCUCCCUGCAGACACGUUGCCUUUGGGGAAGGGGAUGGUGUGAGCAGAGCUGUGUUCAGCCACUGGACAUGUGCGUGAUUCAGCACUGUUUUUAUCUUUGUACCUCCUAGACUGAGGCCUGGCUGUCCUGCCAUU